CUGUGAAACAAGAUACAGACUAGCGGCGGACGGGUGAGUAACACGUGGGUAACCUGCCCAAGAGAUCGGGAUAACACCUGGAAACAGAUGCUAAUACCGGAUAACAACAGAUGAUGCCUAUCAACUGUUUAAAAGAUGGUUCUGCUAUCACUCUUGGAUGGACCUGCGGUGCAUUAGCUAGUUGGUAGGGUAACGGCCUACCAAGGCGAUGAUGCAUAGCCGAGUUGAGAGACUGAUCGGCCACAUUGGGACUGAGACACGGCCCAAACUCCUACGGGAGGCAGCAGUAGAGAAUCUUCCACAAUGGACGCAAGUCUGAUGGAGCAACGCCGCGUGGGUGAAGAAGGGUUUCGGCUCGUAAAGCUCUGUUGUUGGUGAAGAAGGACAGGGGUAGUAACUGACCUUUGUUUGACGGU
rnacentral:rRNA from 1 species